UAACGUGCGCGAUGACGUCAUUCAGCAGUUGCAGCCAAGCAGGAGUCAUGGCGCCCAUGCGGCUCAAACGUUCGAAAGUGUGGUUACACUUCACAAAAAAGGAUGACAACAGGGUGACUUGCAACACUUGCGCAACGGAAAUUUCCUCAAAGGGAGGAAAUACAAGCAAUAUGAAAAAGCAUUUGCAAGCACGGCAUGCCAUCAACUUGGCAGAAUCUCAAUUUGGCUGCAGGCCGGCCGGCAAAGUUACAGAUGAACCUGAUCAGGCAGAUGGGGGGGAACAGGAGGAGGGUGAAGGAGAAGAGGAGGCUGCUGCCUCUGCCCCUCAAAGACUGCUUGGGGGAAACAGGAAAUGUAAAAGGAGCGCAGGACGAAAAGCGCCCGAAAUUGAGGAAUAUCUUCUCCGUCUCCUCAAGCGACGUGCAAACUUUACUCCACCGCCCCCAUGCGAGGAUGAGCUGUUCAUGAUAAGCCUGAUUCCUUCCUUGAAAAGAUUGCCGUCCGAGCGGAAGGAAUAUGUCAAAUUUCAAUUUCAUAAAUUAAUAUAUGAAGCCAGCACCGUUACUUUAAAUUUGGAUCAGUUGGAUCAUUAAAUAAUGUCCGGCUGGGAAGUAAUUAGGCUUUAUGUUUUUGUUUUUGGCUGAAUGUUGUUGAGUUUCAAACAUUUUGGGUAUAAAUCCACUUUAUUUUAGUCCUUGGUUUGUUGUGUUCUGCAUGUUUUUGGACAAAAAUACAGUUAAUAAUACGUAAAGAACCUGAUGUGCCUUACCUUAUGUCAGUUUUAUUUCAGCUUUUACAGUGUACGAACAGUUCUAUGUUCAAUUACCUGCUAAAUGUCACUAUGUUCUUUGUGAUAUGAAUAUGACUUGAUGCGUACACAAACGGGUACAAUCAUUUUGGUGCUAUUAAAGUAAUAUUGUUGGACGUUUGCUCAAAAGUAUGUGAACCCUGACAGCCUCUGUUGAUGAGGUCGUCGUUGGCAGCAACUCUUUCCAGACCUGGCGGUGUUUCUACUGCUUCCAGCAGAUGCCAGGGUUGUUUCCCGCAGACACAGGUGGCCUUCACACACUCCUGGAACUUCGCUACAUCCUCCGCUGAGCAGAAAUCCGAAUCCGAAUCAGAAUCGUCUUUAUUUUGCCAAGUUUGUCCAAAAAACACACAAGGAAUUUGUCUCCGGUCGUUGGAGCCGCUCUUGUACGACAACAGACGGUCAAUGCUUUUGAGACAUAACGACAUUGAGAAAAACACUGAGCAAGAAAAGCUUGCUAGUCAUCUGGUAAUGGUACUUUUUUUUUUUUUUUUUUUUUUGACAAUUGUGCAAAAAGAUGCAUAGUCCUCGAGCAGUUUGAAUAACUAAUAGAGCAAUAGUCUGGCUCAAUGACCAUUGUGCAAAGGGUGCCGAGACUUCAAGGAGUGGAUGCGGUUUAAAAAGGGGGAGGGGGUUGGCCGGAGGAGAAGUAAAACAACACUAGCCUGAAUUCAACUCAAACGAUCCCAAAGGCAUUCUCCGCCACCGGUCGAGUUCGGGAGGGACGCGAGUCGAACAUCUGUCCUCCGGUGGGAGGAUGCGUCCCGGGAACGGCCUCAUCGGAUAUCUCCAGAAUGGAAAUGCCUCAUCCGCCACAAAGAUACGCGACUGGGGCCCUCGGUGGUCAGUCCCCGGGAGUGGCAGUCGGAGGGUGCCAGAGCGCAGCGCUUGACCGAAAGAUGAGUCGGCCGGAGUCCCACCAUCACUGCCUAAUCCGUAGCCCCCAACAUCUUACCGCUUGUAACCCUUUCCCGGCAUCCACAACUGCCGCGCAAAACCAACGAGUACACUCCCUUGUAGUUGGAGAACUGGAAAGCUGAGUCGGCAGGGGCUCGGAGGACCACGUGCUUCCGCUACUCCAACUCCUCUGGGGCGGGCACAGCCCGAAACUCAUCCACGAGGCAGGACAAUCACGGAGACCGUCCCCAACGCGGAAACUGUUUGCGAUGGACCUGAAUGAGUUCCUUGUGGCAAAGUAUCUGCAGCACAUCGAAUGUUAAAUUGAACAGAGUUGUACUGAAGAUGCUGUAUGAGUCCACAUACUGUACAUAAAACAAUAAUAUUGA